rnacentral:SRP_RNA from 1 species
GCUGGGUGUGGUGGCGCACGCCUGUAGUCCCAGCUACUCGGGAGGCUGAGACAGAAGAAUUGCUUGAACCCAGGAGGUGGAGGUUGCAGUGAGCCAAGAUCUCACCACUACACUCCAGCCUGGGCAACAGAGUGAGACUCUGUCUCUC